UCCGUAGGUGAACCUGCGGAAGGAUCAUUACCGAGUCUCGAGGGGGCGACCCCUCGCACGCUCUCACACACACCUGUGCACCUGUCGCGGGUCUCCGAUGGGGAAAUGGGGGGGAGACCCUGCGGUUUGUCGGACGCGCGUUGGCUCGUCCCACGCCCUUCGUGGCUUUUUGACGUGGGCUGGGCUCAAUGGAAUCGGGAGGGAAAUCGUAACCUUAUACAACUUUCAGCAAUGGAUCUCUUGGCUCUCGCAUCGAUGAAGAACGCAGCGAAUCGCGAUACGUAAUGUGAAUUGCAGAUUUUCAGUGAAUCAUCGAAUCUUUGAAUGCACCUUGCGCUCCUUGGCAUUCCGAGGAGCACGCCUGUCUGAGUGUCGUUUGAAUUCUCGACCGACCCUUCCUUUCGAGGGGACUUCGGCUCGGAUCGUUGGGAGUUCUCUGCCGGACGACGGAGCAAGGGGGGGCGUCGAAGCGUCGGAUUCCUUCCGUCCCUUUGUCGCGCCUUUCCUCUUCGUCUUCGGGCUCUCCUGAAACUCAUGUCCGGGGGGCUGAAGAAGAAGAUCCAAGGGGAUCUUUCGAGGUCGCACAUGUGCCUCUGCUCGUUUGGGUUUGGGUCUCCUCUCCCCGCAGGGCUCGGCGUGAUAGUCUUCGUCGUGUUCCUCCCUCGCGGGGG
rnacentral:rRNA from 1 species